GAUGAACGCUAGCGGGAGGCCUAACACAUGCAAGCCGAGCGGUAUUGUUUCUUCGGAAAUGAGAGAGCGGCGUACGGGUGCGGAACACGUGUGCAACCUGCCUUUAUCUGGGGGAUAGCCUUUCGAAAGGAAGAUUAAUACUCCAUAACAUAUUGAUUGGCAUCAAUUAAUAUUGAAAGCUCCGGCGGAUAGAGAUGGGCACGCGCAAGAUUAGCUAGUUGGUGAGGUAACGGCUCACCAAGGCGAUGAUCUUUAGGGGGCCUGAGAGGGUGAUCCCCCACACUGGUACUGAGACACGGACCAGACUCCUACGGGAGGCAGCAGUGAGGAAUAUUGGUCAAUGGGUGCAAGCCUGAACCAGCCAUCCCGCGUGAAGGACGACUGCCCUAUGGGUUGUAAACUUCUUUUGUAUAGGGAUAAACCUACCCUCGUGAGGGUAGCUGAAGGUACUAUACGAAUAAGCACCGGCUAACUCCGUGCCAGCCGCCGCAGUAAGAC
rnacentral:rRNA from 1 species